rnacentral:rRNA from 1 species
UACGGGGGGGGCAAGCGUUGUUCGGAAUUACUGGGCGUAAAGGGCUCGUAGGUGGCCAACUAGGUCAGACGUGAAAUCCCUCAGCUUAACUGGGGAACUGCGUCUGAUACUGGAUGGCUUGAGUUUGGGAGAGGGACGCGGAAUCCAGGUGUAGCGGUGAAAUGCGUAGAUAUCUGGAGGAACACCGGUGGCGAAGGCGGCGUCCUGGACCAACACUGACACUGAGGAGCGAAAGCCAGGGGAGCAAACGGG